rnacentral:rRNA from 1 species
ACAGAGGGUGCAAGCGUUAAUCGGAAUUACUGGGCGUAAAGAGUGUGUAGGCGGAUUUGUCAGUCAGAUGUGAAAUCUCAGGGCCUAACCCUGAACCUGCAUCUGAAACUACAAGUCUAGAAUUCUGGAGGGGGAAGGGGAAUUUCGCAUGUAGGGGUAAAAUCCGUAGAUAUGCGAAGGAACACCAGAGGCGUAGGCGCCUUCCUGGACAGAUAUUGACGCUGAGGCACGAAAGCGUGGGGAGCAAACAG